rnacentral:lncRNA from 1 species
AAAACACCAUUCUAGUGCCUAGAAAACAUAAUCACCACUCCACCUUCUUCCACCCUCUUUGCCUAGUUCUCCACCACCUUCCAACCAUCAAACACUCUUCCACACUCACCCUAAACCCCUCCAUAUCAUUCCCCAUCCAUUCUACACCAUAAAUCCACCCAAAAAUCUGUCCACAAGCUUCAUGCCGCAACAAGGAGGAAGGAAGAUCCAUUGAUGCACUUGCUUUCCAAGUUGGAGCAUUUUAGGUGUUUUCUUACCUUUGAUUUUAAUGUCUAAUUUUAUGUAUCUUUGUAUUGCAAGAAUGAGGAACUAAACCCCCUUAGUUGGGGGGUGAUUUGAAAACCAUGUACAUGCUUGCAAUAUGAUUUGAUUACAUUCAGUUGUUAUUUCAUAAGUUGCGGAUUCAAUUCGUUCAUCUACUUGAUUGAUAACUUUAUUUGUGUAUGUUGAUUGAGAGUGCACGCUUAGUUUUCAUGCAUGAAUAUGAUGCUAGAUUAUGAGGGAGUUUCACCUAAUAGUUACAAUCUUUAUAAUUACAAGUAGUGAAGGUCGCUUGAAAACGAUCGCGUUGAAUGAAUUCUUGGCACUAGUUUCAUGCUCAUCAUAGUAACGAAUGCCUCGUCAACACUUAUAGUUCUCAUUGUGCUUCAUGAUUCUUGAUUGUAUCUUUAUUGUGCUCAUCACGUAAGGAACCUUUGAGGAAUGCUUUGAAUUGUUGUAUGCGCUUUUCCAUCCAAUUCAUUAACUUAAGGAGAACUUGAAGGUUAAUUUAAGCGUAUCUAAUUAACUUGGGGUGUUGAGUUUCAUAAUUUAUUGAAAGAACAACUGAAAAUCAUUUUGUUUGCAAGUGUGUCAUGUGUGGAGAAGAACCUCCUAACUAGCCUUUUAUCCAUCCUUUUCAUCCAAAAACGUUUUUACAAUCUGUUUUGUUUUAAAGUUUCUGUUUUGUUUUCAAUUUUCGUCCAAAACAAAUCCCCCUUUAUUUUGAAGUCUUAGAUUAGUUAGAAAGUGUUUUGAUUUGUGUUUCUAAGUGUUUUGAUUCAAGUUUUCAUCCAACUUCGUCCAAGUUCUUGUUAGGUUCUCAAAACUGCCCAGAAAGUGGUUUUUAGGCAGUUUUGAGUCAUUAGGUUGCUGUUUUGAGUUUUAUGUUUGUUUAAGUAUUUUAAAGUAUAGUUUUGCAUUCUUUGAGUCUAGUUUAGUGUUUUAAAUUUUGUUUUUAUGUUUUUAAGUCAGUUUUCAAGUGUUUAGCAAUCCCUCCUAAUCCCCGGCCUAGAACGAUCCCUACUUACAUACUUUACUACAAUUGAUAAAAAGAGGGUUUAAUUUUGUGUGUUAACUUAUUUUACGCAUCAAAUUUUGGCGCGCAGGGGCAUUGCACAAACCAAAUGGCAUGCGCCUGUAUGCAAAGGUGCCAAAGGGGCACGUGAACGUUGUCUUUUCUUGGUCCUCCGGAGCUAUCACAAUUUGGUUAUAUCCGGAAUAUCCAUCAAGAAAGCAAUAAAAUUUAUAACCGGCUAACCUUUCUAACAUUUGGUCCAGGAAUGGCAACGGAAAGUGAUCCUUCCUUGUCAUGGCAUUUAACUUCCUGUAAUCAAUACAAACACGCCAACCAGUCACCACACGAGUGGGUACAAGCUCUUGUUCUUCAUUCUUCACCACCGUGAUCCCGGACUUCUUUGGAACAACCUGCACGGGAGACACCCAACGACUAUCAGAAAUAGGGUAUAUAACACCACAGUCAAGCAAUUUUAUAACCUCCUUCUUUACUACUUCCAACAUGGGUGGAUUAAGGCGACGUUGAGCCUCCCGAGAUGGCUUAGCUCCCUCCUCCAAAAGGAUGCGAUGCAUGGUGAGUAUCUUUUCUGAUUAUGUGGAGAAAAUUAUUGAGAUAUUCAUGGAUGAUUUCAGCGUGUUUGGUAAUUCAUUCGAUCAUUGCUUGAGUAAUCUGACCUUAAUUUUGAAACGUUGUGUUGAAACGAAUCUUGUGCUUAAUUGGGAAAAAUGUCACUUCAUGGUUAAGCAAGGUAUUGUUCUAGGACAUAUUAUUUCUGAAGAAGGCAUUGAAGUGGAUAAAUCUAAGGUAGACCUUGUUCGUCACUUACCCUCUCCAACUUCGGUUAGAGAGGUUCGUUCGUUUCUUGGUCACGCAGGUUUUUAUAGGCGUUUCAUAAAGGAUUUCUCCAAGAUUUCACAACCACUAUGCCGAUUGCUUCAAAAAGAGGUGGCUUUCGAGUUUGAUGAUGCAUGCUCCACGGCAUUCAAGCAAUUAAAAGAAGCUCUUACUUCGGCUCCCAUUAUCACACCUCCAGAUUGGAGCCUUCCAUUCGAGUUGAUGUGCGAUGCUUCGGAUUAUGCGAUUGGUGCUGUUUUGGGGCAACGAAAGAACAAACAACCUCAUGUUAUUUAUUAUGCCUCUAGGACACUAAAUGAUGCUCAAUUAAAUUACUCCACCACUGAAAAAGAAUUACUUGCUGUGGUAUUUGCAUUAGAUAAGUUCCGAUCAUACUUACUUGGUACUAAAGUUAUUAUUUUUACUGAUCAUGCAGCUCUCAAGUAUUUACUCACAAAAAAGGAGGCCAAGCCUAGACUAAUUCGAUGGAUGUUGCUUCUACAAGAGUUUGACAUUGAGAUUCGGGAUAAGAAGGGCGUGGAGAAUGUGGUGGCUGACCACCUAAGUCGAAUGGUGCAUGAGGAAGCAUCGCCAAUUUCUGAAACCUUCCCCGAUGAGCAACUAAUGUCUAUCCAGGUAAGUGAGCCUUGGUACGCGGAUUUGGUGAAUUAUUUGGUGACUAAACAAGUUCCUAGCACCCUAAACAAAUUCCAACGUGAUAAACUUAAAAAGGAUGCUAGAUUUUAUGUUUGGGAUGACCCAUACUUGUGGAAAUAUUGUUCAGAUCAGGUUAUAAGAAGAUGUGUGCAUGAAUCAGAUUUUCACUCAAUUUUUAAGUUUUUGUCACACAUAUGCAUGUGGGGGUCACUUUGGCACCCAAAGGACAGCUUUUUAAGGUUCUUGAAUGUGGUUUUUAUUGGCCUACUUUGUUUAAAGAUGCUAGAACCUUCUGUUUAACAUGUGAUCGCUGCCAAAGGACAGGUAAUAUUAGCCAAAAAGAUCAAAUGCCGCAGGUACCCAUCUUUGUUGUUGAAAUCUUUGAUGUUUGGGGUAUCGAUUUUAUGGGUCCUUUUCCUUCAUCUUUUGGUUUCACCUACAUAUUACUUGCCGUUGAUUAUGUUUCAAAGUGGGUGGAAGCGAAAGCCACUCGAACUAACGAUUCUAAAGUUGUGGCAGAUUUUGUGAAAACUAAUAUCUUUUCUAGAUUUGGGAUGCCUAGGGUGCUAAUCAGUGAUGGAGGGUCUCAUUUUUGCAACCGUACCAUUGGGGCAUUACUCAAGAAGUAUCAUGUGACGCAUAAGGUUUCCACACCUUACCACCCCCAAACCAAUGGCCAAGCCGAGGUAUCUAAUCGUGAGAUCAAACAGAUUUUUGGAGAAGACCGUUGGGCCAAAUAGAAAAGAUUGGAGCUUACGGCUGGAUGAUGCACUAUGGGCGUAUCGAACGGCUUACAAGACCCCCAUUGGUAUGUCUCCUUUUCGACUUGUGUAUGGCAAGCCUUGCCAUCUUCCCGUGGAAUUAGAACAUAGAGCUCAUUGGGCCAUCAAGACCUUCAAUUUGAAUGUGGACCAAGCUGGAAUUCAUCGAAAGCUUCAAUUGAGUGAACUUGAUGAGAUAAGGCAUGAAGCUUAUGAGAAUGCUAGAAUUUACAAAGAGAAGACCACGGCAUUCCAUGAUAAGAUGCUUCGAGGCAAGACUUUCGAAAUUGGGCAGAAAGUGUUGUUGUUCAACUCCCGCCUUCGUCUAUUCCCUGGUAAGUUACGUUCCAAAUGGGUUGGCCCGUUUGUUGUUACUAAUCUUUUUGUGCAUGGUGCAGUCCAAAUUAAAGAGCUUGAGAACCGGGCAAGAAUUCAAGGUGAAUGGACAUCGCUUGAAGCCAUACUACGAGAACUUUGUGGAACAUGUUGUGGAGGAGAUCCCACUGCAUGCCGUGGGUUCCAAGGAGAAGUGAAGGUGUUUCAUCGUCCGGCUGGAAAGACGUUAAAGCAAGCGCUUUAAGGGAGGCAACCCAUUUAUUCUGUUUGAUUGUCUAUUUUAUUACUUGUUUAAUUAUUUUUGGUUAUGACUUUCUAUUUUGAAACAUUAACAAAUAUGCAAAGGAUUUUAACAUUAAACUUCGUGGAAAUGAACAGCAAACUGGGAAAGAAAGAAACAGACCAACACCUCUCCCUCGUGGCUGCCACAUCUGCUUGGAGAACAAAUAAGGAAUUGCAACAUCGCCAAAGAGAAAAGCUUCGCCGUACAAUUCCAAUCCAGUUCAAGUUCAAAGCUGUGGAAAGUCAACAAGAUCAACUAUCUCCAAAACCAGAUUUGCGUUCUUAAACUCUACUCUGUCUGGUUUUUACUUUGCCAUAUUUGUCAUGUUUAUUUGUCGUUUGUUAUUUGCUUGUUUUUUGGUGUGAGUAUAUGCUUGAAACAUUGAGGACAAUGUUUGAUUUAAGUGUGGGGGGGGUAACCAUUGUUUUGCAUGAAAUUCGUAGAAAUUUAUCACCCAUUAAUUCUAGUGUUGUUCCUUGUUGUUUUAAGUAUUUUUUUAAGCUGUUUUGGAGUGUUUCAGUGUGUUUUGACAUAAAAAUCCGAAAAUUCAUAAAAAUUUGAAAAAUUGUUUUUGAAAAUAAAAAAAAAAGAGUUGUUUUUGUGCGCUUAUUUGUGUCUUAGGGUACCUUCCAACACAAUGAUGAGGAUUCGGUUUGUAAUUGCAUGACUGUUAAAGAGAGUUAUAAACAUGGAUGAAAGUUUGAUUUACUCUUUAUUUAUGCGUGGUUGUGGUUAUAACUUAUGAAAUCACAUGUAAUCAUAAAAGAAAAAAAAAUUAGUUUUUGUAACAUGCUUGAAGGAAAGAACUCAAACUAACGCUACAACCUUGUGAGACUUGAGCCUAAACGUUUAUUUGGAGAGUUAAAAUCUGUGCAUUCUUGUUUUCUAAAGUCGUUGCAUGAUCUCAUUAUUCUUUGCUUGGUUAUUACUUAGAAGGCGUUUCAUCAUUUAGUUCCAAAUGCUAGAACUCAUGCCUAUUUCAUUCAAAGCAUGCUAUUGAUUUGCAUAAAACAUAUUCAAGAUGAAGUUAUGUAGUUACCACCACCAAAGCCAAACUGCCAUGUAUCCCAUAUCGUUAUAUGUUUAAGUUAACCCCAUUGAGCCUUGAUAGCCUACAUUCUUUGUUAAACCACAUUAUCCUUACCUAGCCUAGUUUAGGACCAUCCAUACCCUUGUUCUUGAAGCAUAGUAAAACAUAAUUCAAAUUGAAUUUCUUUUGAUUAAUGUAUGGCAGAAAACAAGUGUGUGGGGAAGUGUGAGUUAUUAUGCUUGUUGAAAAGAAAAGAAGAGUUGAAAAAAAAAAAAAAAAAAAAAAGAGUUGAAAAAUAUGCGAAAAAAGAGUUUUAAAGUGCUGCUUGUUGAAGAAAGGGUCCAAAACAUAGAAUUCGGCCCUAAUUAUUGCUUGAAUCUUCCCUUCGUGUUAAAAGUUGAUUACUGCAAUCUAAGUGAAUUCUAAGUUUCAAUUUCAUUACUUUACUUGCUAUUGCUUUAAGAACGAUUGUUAUCCUUAUCCUUCAUUUGUUAGCCAUCACCCCAAGCCCCGUUACAACCCUUAACUUCAUCUUGAGUGUCAUGCGUUUCAAUAUGUGGAGUUUGAAAUUGAUAUGAGCAUAUGGUGUCACUGGUUCUCGCAUCUAAGUAAUAGCAUUCCAUUCAUGAGAUCAUAUCUAAACAUGCUUAUUAACUCCAGAAAUUGCUUUCUUUGUGAUACAUAUAUGUGAGCAUUCGUUUUCAUAUCUACAUCAAUCUUCUCACAUAUAACUAGUAUAGGGUGUGUAGUUGGAAAAUCUGAGUGAAAAUUGAGUGCAUAUCUUGUAAGGAAUUGAGUGAAUUCUCUAAGGCAUGUUACUACAUCAAAAACAUUGUUUUAAUUGAUUAAUUGUGAACUAGUAAGUGGUGACUAUGAUUAAGUAUGUGCUUAAGUGUAAAGAUGACUCAAAUCUGUGGGGAUAAUGAUUUUUAACAUGUCAUGUGCAUUGGAAAUCCCUGAGGCAAAUGUUGGAAGGUUUAGGUUGUGUUUUAUUUGUUUUGUUUCGUUUUAUUUCUUUGUUUUGCUCGAGGACUAGCAAAAGCUAAGUGUGGGGGAAUUUGAUAGGAGCAUAUUUAUGCGACUUAAUUGGCUUGUUCUUGUGUGUUUACGUUGUGUUUUCUUUAGUUAUUUUAGUGUUUAAAGCCAUUUUCAUUUGUUUGUAGGUCUUAAUAACAACCUUGGCAAGAAAAGUGCAUUUUGGUGCAUGUUGGAUCAAUAUUGGGCUCAAAUGGAUUGCAUGCAUGAGGAUGGACGUUUUGGGCAUAUGUGUGUGCAAGUGUGUGUGUGUAAUUGCAAGGAUAAACAAUGACAACUCAUACACAUGCAAAGAAGCCCACUUGCAAAGUGAAAGACUCUAAGUACAAAGUAUGCAAGAAGAUGCAUUUUGGAGGCCUUUGGAGCAUGUUUCGGGCUUGGAAUGGAUAGCAAAUGCAUGGGCCAAGUGGAUGGACGAAUUUGAGAACUAAAGAGGCCAAGAAUAUGAAGAAUUAUGGUCCAAAAGAUGAAGAAAACAGCCCAAAAAUCUGUCACCCCAACUUGCAUUCCUUGCCAUGCAAACCACAUAGAAUUCCCUUUGGAUUCCAUGCCAUGCUUGAUCACUCUUGUCCCCUACAUAAUUUCUGAUUUCAUGCUUUAAUUCAUUUAAUUAUUUCACUCAAUUGCUUGAUACCUCUUGUUCCCUUCACCCAUUAGAUUUUAGACAACCUUUACAUCCAUUACAUGCACCAAUUGAUGCUCCAUCAUUCACAUUUGGAAUCCAAUGCCAUGUGCAACACAUGUUGUUGCACCUUUGACCCAUUUGUUGACACAUUUCACCUCCCUUUCCAUCUCUAUGCAAUGUACACAAUCAUUCAUGCUCCCUAGCUACAACACCACUCCAUUUUACCCUUCACACUUUGCAUCAUUACUUCAUUUUCACCCUUGGACCAUUGCACACCACACACACAAAUUGCCAUGCAUUUCAUCCUUAACCUAACCUUAUUUUCUAAGGUUUUUGGGGCCUAUAAAUACAUGUUUACACCCCUUGGCCAAAGAACAAUCCCCCAUAUUCAUCAUUUUUAUCACAGAAAUUCGUCCAUACACACCCUAGGAAGCAAAACACCCCAAAAACACCAUUCUAGUGCCUAGAAAACAUAAUCACCACUCCACCUUCUUCCACCCUCUUUGCCUAGUUCUCCACCACCUUCCAACCAUCAAACACUCUUCCACACUCACCCUAAACCCCUCCAUAUCAUUCCCCAUCCAUUCUACACCAUAAAUCCACCCAAAAAUCUGUCCACAAGCUUCAUGCCGCAACAAGGAGGAAGGAAGAUCCAUUGAUGCACUUGCUUUCCAAGUUGGAGCAUUUUAGGUGUUUUCUUACCUUUGAUUUUAAUGUCUAAUUUUAUGUAUCUUUGUAUUGCAAGAAUGAGGAACUAAACCCCCUUAGUUGGGGGGUGAUUCGAAACCAUGUACAUGCUUGCAAUAUGAUUUGAUUACAUUCAGUUGUUAUUUCAUAAGUUGCGGAUUCAAUUCGUU